GACGAACGCUGACGGCGUGCUUAACACAUGCAAGUCGAAGGGAGAGGCGAACGGGUGAGUAACACGUGAGUAACCUGCCCUUUUCUUUGGGAUAAGCCUGGGAAACUGGGUCUAAUACUGGAUGGAUUGGGAUGGGCGCGCGGCUUAUCAGCUUGUUGGUGUGGUGAUGGAUUACCAAGGCUUUGACGGGUAGCCGGCAUGAGAGGGUGGUCGGUCACACUGGGACUGAGAUACGGCCCAGACUCCUACGGGAGGCAGCAGUGGGGGAUAUUGCACAAUGGACGAAAGUCUGAUGCAGCGACGGCGUGGAUGAAGAAGGCCUUCGGGUUGUAAAGUACUUUCAGCGGGGAGGCAUUACCCGCAGAAGAAGCACCGGCUAACUCCGUGCCAGGAGCCGCGGUAAUAC
rnacentral:rRNA from 1 species